CCACUGCAGAUUUUCCACCGUGUAGUCCACUGGUCUUCCAUUUGGGAAACAAGGACCAAACAACCAUGAAGUUCUUCAUCUUUACCUGCCUUUUGGCUGUUGCUCUGGCACAUCAUGAGAUAAAGCACUCCUCCUCUUCCAGUGAGGAAUCUGCCAGCAUCUACCAAGAAAAGUUUAAGCUUAACAAUAAUAUGGUCUUCCAAACCAGUCAGGUAA